UACGGGGGGAGCAAGCGUUGUUCGGAUUUACUGGGCGUAAAGGGCGCGUAGGCGGCCUUCUAAGUCAGACGUGAAAUCCCCCGGCUUAACCUGGGAACUGCGUCUGAUACUGGGAGGCUUGAGUAUGGGAGAGGGAUGUAGAAUUCCAGGUGUAGCGGUGAAAUGCGUAGAUAUGCGGAGGAACACCGAUGGCGAAGGCAAUCCCCUGGGCCUGCACUGACGCUCAUGCACGAAAGCGUGGGGAGCAAACAGG
rnacentral:rRNA from 1 species